UACGUAGGAUGCAAGCGUUGUCCGGAUUCAUUGGGCGUACAGAGUUCGUAGGCGGUUUGUUAAGUCUGAUGUUAAAGAUCGGGGCCCAACCCUGAGAGUGCAUUGGAUACUGGCAGACUGGAGUGCAGUAGAGGCAAGUGGAAUUCCCAGUGUAGCGGUGAAAUGCGUAGAUAUUGGGAAGAACACCGGUGGCGCAGGCGACUUGCUGGGCUGUAACUGACGCUGAGGAACGAAAGCGAGGGGAGCAAAUGGG
rnacentral:rRNA from 1 species